rnacentral:ncRNA from 1 species
UUAAAGUUUAAUUUAAGUUUUGUAAUUUAUUUAAUUUUUUUUUUACAUGUAAAUUUUUGUGUGAAAAUAAAAAAGAUUUAAAAAAUUUUUUUUAUGAUUUAUAUUCGCAGUAUUUAAUUUUAAUAAUUUAAGUAAUUAAGAAUUAUGAAUAAAUUUUAAUAUUAACAAAUUUUGUGCCAGCAGUUGCGGUUAAACAAAAAAUAUAAAUAAAUUUUAUUAGUAAGUAGUUAAAUGAAUUAAGUUAAAAUAUAAAAUUAUUUUUAUUAGGUGAAAUUUUAAAUUUAAUUAUAAUUUUUAUUAAAGAUUUUUUUUACUAUGAAAUUUAUUUUUAAACUAGGAUUAGAUACCCUAUUAUUUUAAAUGUAAAUAAGUUUACUAAAGUAGUAAUAGUUAUGUUCUUUAAAUUUAAAGAUUUUGGCGGUAUUUUAGUCUAUUUAGAGGAACCUGUUCUAUAAUUGAUAGUCCACGAUUAACUUUACUUAAUUUAUAAAUUUGUAUAUCGUUGUUAUAAUAAAAUUUUAAAAGAAAAUAAAUUUUUAAUAUUUUUUAUAAAAAAAUAUAUCAAAUCAAGGUGCAGUUAAUAAUUAAGAAGAAAUGGGUUACAAUAAAUUUAUUUAAAUGGAUUAGAAUAUGAAAAAUUUUAUGAAGGUGGAUUUAAUAGUAAUAUAAUUAAUUUAAAUUAUAUGAUUGUAGCUCUAAAAUAUGUACAUAUCGCCCGUCGCUCUUAUUAUAAGAUAAGAUAAGUCGUAACAUAGUAGAUGUACUGGAAAGUGUAUCUAGAAUGAC